rnacentral:rRNA from 1 species
AUGGCGCCGGCGAGGAGGAAGCGCGGCGCAUCUGCGGCUGCUGCAGCGGCGGCGGCCGCGGCGCAGUGGAAGGUCGGCGACCUGGUGCUCGCCAAGAUAAAGGGCUUCCCCGCGUGGCCAGCCAUGGUGAGUUCGGGCUUCUUUCUCAUCUGUAGCCUCGUACGCAGUUGUCCGGGUAGCCUGUGGCUUGGGAACUCGGGUUAG